AUGGCAAGAACGCGGGUCGUCAUGGACAAACUUGAACAAGAACUCGACGCCAUGCAUUCUGCUGAAAAUGGAGGUGUCGCGGACAAUGAAGCCAUUGAGCAGGAUACUGCUACAAUGUUAUCCGAGAUGAACCAUAUGGGAGCUAUUGACCCGUUUGAGAACGAGGAAGAGGAGCAGCAGCAACCGGAGCUUGCCCGUGUGCACACUCAAGAGCAUCGACAAACUCACAUGCGAGAUCAUGAGCUCGAUGGUGCUAAGGCGAAAAACAUGACAAUAGCACAUCCUACCAGCAACAGCAGGAAAGGGUGA
rnacentral:rRNA from 1 species